AAGGAGCCUAGGAAAUAUGUCAUGAGAAAGAAAGAAAGAAAGAAAGAAAGAAAGAAAGAAAGAAAGAAAGAAAGAAAGAAAGAAAGAAAGAAAGAAAGAAAGAAAGAAAGAAAGAAAGAAAGAAAGAAAGAAAGAAAGAAAGAAAGAAAGAAAGAAAGAAAGAAAGAAAGAAAGAAAGAGAGAGAGAGAAAAAGAAAAGAAAAGAGGGGGAGAGAGAAGAAGGAAGGAAGGAAGGAAGGAAGGAAGGAAGGAAGGAAGGAAGGAAGGAAGGAAGGAAGGAAGGAAGGAAGGAAGGAAGGAAGGAAGGAAGGAAGGAAGGAAGGAAGGAAGGAAGGAAGGAAGGAGAGAGGAAGGAAGAAACUUGAUCAAAGAAAAUGAUGCUUGAGUUG
rnacentral:lncRNA from 1 species